UACGGAGGGUGCAAGCGUUACUCGGAAUCACUGGGCGUAAAGGACGCGUAGGCUGUUUAGCAAGUCAGAUGUGAAAUCCAAUGGCUCAACCAUUGAACUGCAUUUGAAACUGCUAGACUAGAGUAUGGGAGGGGGAGAUGGAAUUAGUGGUGUAGGGGUAAAAUCCGUAGAUAUCACUAGGAAUACCUAAAGCGAAGGCGAUCUCCUGGAACAUUACUGACGCUAAGGCGUGAAAGCGUGGGGAGCAAACAGG
rnacentral:rRNA from 2 species